GAUUCUCAACAAAUACUUUCCCCAGCUGGGACCUUAUUAGCCACAAUGGAGAAAUCAAUACCCUUAGAGGAAAUGUUAACUGGAUGAAGGCACGUGAGGGACUACUUAAGUGUACUAACUUGGUUUAUCAAAAAAUGAGUUAAAGAAGCUGUUACCAAUUGUGGAUGCCAGUUCAUCCGAUUCUGCUUCUCAAAAGAUUUUACUAUUCAUAAGGCACACGACAUACUUCUGUUAUGACGCCUCCUCAGAUUCUUUUGGAUGCCUUAAGAAAGGCAUUCUUGACCAUAGAAGCAGUAUGCUUGAUGGUUAUGGAUGAGUGCCAUCGGGCUACCGGAAGCCACCCUUAUACAAAGAUAAU